rnacentral:lncRNA from 1 species
AUUACCCAGGUCACUUAUAUGGAAAAUAGUACUAAUGUAAGCAAGAAUAAGCAGCCAGCCUAAUAAUAGCAUCCUAACUAGGGUUUAAACGCCUCAUCUUAAGUUUAAGAAGAUUGUUCUUAUGGCGAGUAACUUGCCACUUGGAGUUCGAAUCCAAAAUGAAGUCGCUCCUCACAGCAAAUGGGUCCACUGGCUUUGCCUGAGAGUAGUGGAUUCAGGUAGCAAUUCCAUCAACCUGAGAGCUGUGGGUGUUGUGAGGAUCACCACAUAUGGUCCCUUCCAGCGAGGUUGCAGUUGUUGGGUGCAGAGCAGGCUGAACUGUGUUGUCUGCAGGGCAGGCUGAACAGAUGUUGGCUGCAAGAUAGCCCACGCACUCAAACCCCUCCCCCCUCUAUCUGGUCCUUUAUCACCUGUUUGCCUCAAGUCUGAACAUUCAACCCUGCUCAAGGCUGAACACUUAACCCCCCCUUGGGCCAACAAGGCAGCUUGCAGACCCAGAGGCCCCAUUAGAUUUGGACUAUAAAAACUCCCUCCUGCCAGGCCCCCCUCUCUCUUGCUCUCUCUCUUGCUCUCUUUGUCUUUCUUGCACGCGCGCUCUCUCUCUCUUGCUCUCCCCCUCCCCUCCCCUCCCCUCCCCUCCCUUCUCUUCUCUUCUCUUCUG